AUGGCGGAGGCUUUAGUACUCAAAUUUGGCUUAAUACUGGCGCAAAGGGCCGGAUGCAAUCGUCUUAUCAUAAACUCGGACAAUAUAGAGGUGAUUGAUUUGAUGAAUGAUGGAGGGUAGUCGGCGGGUGUGGCGGCAACAAUAUUCGAGGAUUAUUUUCAUUAUGCAUGUGAUUUCGUUAUUGCUAGGUUUGAGCACUGUAAUAGGGAAGCAAAUAAAGUAGCUCACGAGUUUGCUAGAUUAGCUAGAUUUUCUUUGACCUCUAAUUGGUUUGAGGGCCUUUAA
rnacentral:rRNA from 1 species